UCUUAUCAUUUUUGUCAACCCAAAAUUACAAUAACUACUUUCUUGCAUUCUAUAUAUAACCAGCUUAGCUAGUACGUACCUACUGUCUGAAAUGGAGAAGAACAACAGCCUCUCAGUCCUCCACAGUCCAGCAGCAUAUGAGGAUCAGUUUAACGAAUAUCUCAACUCCAAAGUCCGCAACCACAACAGCAACAUCAGUCGCCAUGAUUUCCCUUCAAAUUUUAUCUUUGGAUCUGCGACAGCUGCUUAUCAGUUUGAAGGUGGUGCUGCAAAAGGUGGGAGGGGGCCUAGUAUCUGGGAUACUUUUGCCCUCAAGACUCCUGG